AUAUCUCCAGCAGGCGAUAUAAAUGUAAGUGGUUUUAAAACAUGUGCAUCUUUUACAUUCAGAUCAGAACAUAUGCAGAAAUGACACUGCUUUUGGAGUUUCUCCCCCCCCCCCCCCCAAAAAAAAAAAAAAAAUAGCCAAGGUCCCAGACAAACUUUGAUUUAAGGCACGUAUCAGAAGUGAAACAGAAUGCAGAUUUCAGUAGCAGCAAUAACAGGCAGCCACUAAAAUGUUGGCAGCAUCUCUGCCUGCCUGUGAUAGAGGUCAAACUGCAUAUAGUCAGUCUUGGGUAGUUAGAUAACACAAAGCAGUUUCAAUCUGACUCUGAAUCUUUUUUUUUUUUGGGUGUUCCCUUUAUUAUUAUUUUAUUGUUUUCUGCUGAAAUCUGCCGUCACAUUGUGUGGAAAGCGAACUUGACUAAGGUGUAAUGGGUCCUGCGUGUGGCCCCCCAGUGAACAGACAGGUCACGUGCACCUGUCAUAAACAUGAGAGUCACUGUUGUCAUUUGAAAGCCUUGAUUACUUAUUGUUAAAA